rnacentral:misc_RNA from 1 species
AAUCAAAAUCAAAUGAGAAACAUGAAGAAUUGUUUGCAUCAUCCACUUUGAUUAGAAAUGUGGACCAAACAUUGACCUCUAAGAGGCCUAGACUCUCAACAAGUGAGAACAAGAAGGAUGUUGUGCAUAUCAAUGGUGUGCGAAAGGGCCCAAUAAAUUGGUCUACGCCGAAGUCGAGUAGAUCAUCGCCCAACAAAUCAGUUAGGGACUCGAGUGCCUACAGUGUAAAGCAGUCAUGCAUGAUGCCACCGCCAGCAAAGGUUCUGAAUAGAGCUUGCAACGGCCAACAAAAGGUACGUAAAUUAAUGCGAAUGGAUUGGAACCGGGAACGUGACAGGCAGGAUUGAUAAAAUGCCAUUCCCAGUUAUUGGGAUGAGUCAUUGCUGGCGCUGCAUGACCUGCCAAACUGGGUUGAUGUAUAUAGCGGGGUUGUUGUAGGGUUACACUGUAGGUGAGAUGGAAUCUGUUGUAACCGUUGAUCGAGCGUUGAACAGGGAUGUUGUAACAUUAAGGAGACUUGUAGUUCACAGCAGAGAAAUUCUUUGCCUUGUGUAGAGCAUUUAUGAGGCAAUAGAAAUUUCUCUGCUGUGAACUACAAGUCUCC